rnacentral:rRNA from 1 species
ACUCCUACGGGAGGCAGCAGUGGGGAAUAUUGCACAAUGGGCGCAAGCCUGAUGCAGCCAUGCCGCGUGUAUGAAGAAGGCCUUCGGGUUGUAAAGUACUUUCAGCAGUGAGGAAGGCGGGUGUGUUAAUAGCGCAUUCGUUUGUACGUUAGCUGCAGAAGAAGCACCGGCUAACUCCGUGCCAGCAGCCGCGGUAAUACGGAGGGUGCGAGCGUUAAUCGGAAUUACUGGGCGUAAAGCGCAUGCAGGUGGUUUGUUAAGUCAGAUGUGAAAGCCCGGGGCUCAACCUCGGAAUUGCAUUUGAAACUGGCAGACUAGAGUACUGUAGAGGGGGGUAGAAUUUCAGGUGUAGCGGUGAAAUGCGUAGAGAUCUGAAGGAAUACCGGUGGCGAAGGCGGCCCCCUGGACAGAUACUGACACUCAGAUGCGAAAGCGUGGGGAGCAAACAGGAUUAGAUACCCUGGUAGGAUAGCG